AGAGUUUGAUCCUGGCUCAGGAUGAACGCUAGCGGCAGGCUUAAUACAUGCAAGUCGAGGGGCAGCGGGGGUAGCAAUACCUGCCGGCGACCGGCAAACGGGUGCGGAACACGUACACAACCUUCCUUUAGGUGGGGGAUAGCCCAAAGAAAUUUGGAUUAAUACCCCGUAAGAUUAUUAAGUGGCAUCAUUUGAUAAUUAAAGCUCCGGCGCUUGAAGAUGGGUGUGCGGCUGAUUAGGUAGUUGGUGAGGGUAACGGCCCACCAAGCCAGCGAUCAGUAACUGGUGUGAGAGCACGACCAGUCACACGGGCACUGAGACACGGGCCCGACUCCUACGGGAGGCAGCAGUAAGGAAUAUUGGUCAAUGGACGCAAGUCUGAACCAGCCAUGCCGCGUGGAGGAUGAAGGUCCUCCGGAUUGUAAUCUUCUUUUAUUUGAGAAGAAAGGCAUUUUUUCUAAAGUGUUUGACGGUACCAGAUGAAUAAGCACCGGCUAACUCCGUGCCAGCAGCCGCGGUAAUACGGGGGGGUGCAAGCGUUAUCCGGAUUCACUGGGGUUUUAAAGGGGUGCCGUAGGUGGGCCUGGUAAGUUCGGGUGGGUGAAAAUCUCCGGGCUUAACCCCGGAAACUGCCAUUGAUACUAUAGGUCU
rnacentral:rRNA from 1 species